ensembl:lncRNA
AUUUAUUUAUUUAUUUAUAUAUAUUUUUUUAUUUCCAUAUUCCUUUUGGUUGACAAUUUAGUAAUUUUGUCAUUUCUAGUAGUUUUUAUAUGCCUAUUGUCACACCCCAGAACUGUUUUCAUUCCCCAUGUGCUGUAUAACCUAGUUUCUGUCUUCCCUUGAUUAUGUCAUUAUGUUCAGGUGUGUCAUUCAUUAUCCUCAUUAACGUUCCCCUUAUAAGUUGUAUUCUGUUCAGUCUUUGGCUGUCUGGUAUUGAGUUUACGUCUUUGUGUGUUCAUGCCUGCUCUCUGUGGAUUAUUAAAGACUUUGUAUUUCAUCUUCAUCUUUGUUCUCAUUCGUUCCCUCGUGCACCAAACCAUGACAGAAUACUGGACCCAAAAGUUAAAGUUGCGGCGCUCUUCCUCUCCAUUUUGUUUCCGUUUUUCCCAGUUUUUAUUUUUCUUCACUCAUGGAUUAUUUAAAGGAUUUACUUCCCCUCAUUAAACAUGGACAUCACCCCAAUGUCCUCCUUCUACUGCUGGAGCAGGGAUAGAUGCCUGUUGAGGUCCACACGGCAAUCUUCAAAGAGAUCACAAACCACUCCAGCAAGCCGGACAGCAGCCUCUGGACAUUCUUUCUGACGAGCCUCAACGAGGAGUGCAGAGCACAGGUGUUAGGAGGUGGACCUCGGGACUCAUUCGCCGCUUUUGUGGAGUGGGUACUGGUGAGCAACAAAUCACCAUUCACAGUAGGCCUCACUGAGGAGCAGCUCACCAGUACCACUCCAGACCCAGAGCCCAGCCCACCAUCUCCCCGCUGCGUGGAGCCCAAGCCUGAACUCACUGCUGACAGAGAGCCAGAGCCCGCCGUGACCGACGAGCCAUCGCCAUUGAUGGCAAUAGAGCUGUGGAUUGCCGCGGAGUCAGAGGCCAGAACAUCAGACCAGGUACGUGAGCCAGCAACAGAGCUUGCCACGGUGGAGAACGCCAUGAACAGCGAGAGAGCAUACUCCGCCCAUUGCACCAUGGCUGAGGGUGAGCAGCGCUCUAUGGAUAUUAAUGUGGACCCUAUGGAUUAUAAUGUGAAAAUAUAUGCAGACAUGCCCCCUCUUCGGUCUUCUUAUGAACUGUCAACACUGAGUUACCUGUUUGCCUGGAACCUUAUGCCAUUCUGGAUUUCCCACCCUCCCUUCCUCUCUUCAACACCACUGUUACCUGUCAGUCCCUCUGCUCACCUUCAGCCCACCAUCUGUGUGCUGGAUUCACCGCGGGUCUGCCAUUCUCCAUUGGCGUCACGGCUGGAGGAUCCCUUGUUUUUCUGCCAGCACUUGGGGGGGCAGUCUGUCACACCCCAGAACUGUUUUCAUUCCCCAUGUGCUCAGUAUGACCUAGUUUGUCUUCCCUUGAUUAUGACAUUAUGUUCAGGUGUGUCAUUCAUUAACGUUCCCCUUUUAAGUUGUAUUCUGUUCAGUCUUUGGUUGUCAGGUAUUGAGUUUACGUCUGUGUACGUAUGUGCACGCCUUCUCUCUGUGGAUUAUUAAAGACUUUAUUUCAUCUUCAUCUUAAUUCUUGUUCAUUCCCUUGUGCAACAAACUGUGACACCUAUAUAGUUUUUAUUGUUUU